rnacentral:rRNA from 1 species
AACAGGAUUAGAUACCCUGGUAGUCCACGCUGUAAACGGUGGGUACUAGGUGUGGGGUCCAUUCCACGGGUUCCGUGCCGUAGCUAACGCUUUAAGUACCCCGCCUGGGGAGUACGGCCGCAAGGCUAAAACUCAAAGGAAUUGACGGGGCCCCGCACAAGCGGCGGAGCAUGCGGAUUAAUUCGAUGCAACGCGUAGAACCUUACCUGGGUUUGACAUGGAUCGGGAGUGCUCAGAGAUGGGUGUGCCUCUUUUGGGGUCGGUUCACAGGUGGUGCAUGGCUGUCGUCGGCUCGUGUCGUGAGAUGUUGGGUUAAGUCCCGCAACGAGCGCAACCCUUGUUCACUGUUGCCAGCACGUUAUGGUGGGGACUCAGUGGAGACCGCCGGGGUCAACUCGGAGGAAGGUGGGGAUGACGUCAAGUCAUCAUGCCCCUUAUGUCCAGGGCUUCACGCAUGCUACAAUGGCUGGUACAGAGAGUGGCGAGCCUGUGAGGGUGAGCGAAUCUCGGAAAGCCGGUCUCAGUUCGGAUUGGGGUCUGCAACUCGACCUCAUGAAGUCGGAGUCGCUAGUAAUCGCAGAUCAGCAGCGCUGCGGUGAAUACGUUCCCGGGGCUUGUACACACCGCCCGUCAAGUCAUGAAAGUUGGUAACACCCGAAGCCGGUGGCCUAACCGUUGUGGGGGAGCCGUCGAAGGUGGGACUGGUGAUUAGGACUAAGUCGUAACAAGGUAACC